GCAGAGGGAAAAAACGAUACAGAACCCAAUGGCCACCUCUCUCAGAGUCGUCGUCUCCGCUCCAAAUCUCACAAACACCUUCUCUUCCCCAAUCCUCCACGCACUUUAUAGAAAGUUCCCAUUCUCGAUCUCCCUCUCUUCUUCCCACUCUCUCUUUGAUCCCAAAACCUUAACUUCUCUUUCUCUCCAACACCGCCGCUCCCUCUCUCCCUACCACUCCCGCCGCCGAGGCUUCGCGGUGGCUUGCGGAGAUUCUGAGAAUGGAGCCGAGCCUAUUCGUCACUACGACUUCGACCUCUUCACCAUCGGCGCCGGCAGCGCUGGCGUCCGGGCCUCUCGCUUCGCCGCUAAUUUCGGGGCCUCCGUCGCUAUCUGUGAGCUCCCUUUCUCCACCAUUUCCUCCGAAACCACCGGAGGUGUCGGCGGAACAUGCGUGCUUCGUGGAUGUGUGCCAAAGAAACUUCUAGUGUAUGCAUCUAAAUAUUCUCAUGAAUUUGAAGAGAGUCAUGGUUUUGGAUGGAAAUACGAGGCCGAACCCAAGCAUGACUGGAGCACCUUGAUUGCUAAUAAGAAUGCCGAGUUGCAGCGACUAACUGGUAUCUAUAAGAACACUCUUAAAAGUGCUGGUGUUACAUUAAUUGAAGGUCGUGGAAAGAUUGUGGACCCGCACACAGUUGAUGUGGAUGGGAAGCUAUAUUCAGCAAGACACAUACUAGUUUCAGUAGGUGGUCGCCCCUUCAUCCCUGAAAUUCCUGGAAGUGAAUAUGCAAUAGAUUCGGAUGCUGCCCUUGAUUUGCCCUCAAAGCCUACAAAAAUAGCAAUAAUUGGUGGCGGGUAUAUUGCCGUGGAGUUUGCUGGCAUCUUCAAUGGCUUAACAUCUGAGGUCCACAUAUUUAUACGGCAGAAAAAAGUUUUAAGGGGUUUUGAUGAAGAGAUCAGAGAUUUUGUUGGAGAACAAAUGUCUCUAAGAGGAAUCGAGUUCCACACAGAGGAGUCACCCCAAGCUAUCAAUAAAUCUUCUGAUGGGUCGUUAUCUUUGAAGACGAACAAAGGAACAGUUGAAGGUUUUUCGCAUGUUAUGUUUGCAACCGGACGUAGGCCUAAUACAAAGGACUUAGGAUUGGAGACAGUUGGGGUGAAAAUGUCCAAGAAUGGAGCAAUAGAGGUUGAUGAAUACUCACGGACAUCAGUUCCUUCCAUUUGGGCAGCUGGAGAUGUUACAGAUAGAUUGAAUCUCACACCAGUUGCUUUAAUGGAGGGAAUGGCACUAGCAAACACUCUGUUUCAGAAUGAGCCAACAAAACCUGAUCAUAGAACUGUGCCUUCUGCUGUGUUUUCCCAGCCACCGAUUGGACUAGUUGGCCUUACUGAAGAACAGGCAAUACAAGAAUAUGGUGACGUUGAUAUAUUUACAGCAAAUUUCAAGCCCUUAAAGGCUACUCUCUCAGGGCUGCCAGACAGGAUCUUCAUGAAACUUAUAGUCUGUGCAAAAACAAGCAAAGUUCUGGGGUUGCACUUGUGUGGAGAAGAUUCACCAGAAAUUGUGCAGGGAUUUGCCGUUGCUUUGAAAGCUGGCUUGACCAAGGUAGACUUCGAUGCCACGGUGGGUAUUCACCCAACAGCAGCUGAGGAGCUUGUAACAAUGAGAACUCCUACUAGGAAGAUUCGGAAGACACCUGAGGGAAAGACAGAUCUUGAUGCCAAAGCUGCAGCAGGUGUUUAGCAAAGGUCUGGAUCAAUCUUUUGCGCAGCACAGCUGGAUUUGUUUUUGGGUGUGAGCAGAUUGUCAUCUGGGAGAUUGCAGCUGAAAAUCUUAUUCUGGAAUGGAUUGAUAGUUUGAAGACUAAGAAGUUGAUUCGUGAUGGCGAUUAGCCUUCUUGGGGAAGCAUCAUCAGUUUUGUAAGUUUCCCAUCAGGAGCCCCAAUGAACUGAUCGAAGCAAAAGAAGGGAGAAGUUCUCUACAGAUGUUUCUAUCAUUCUGUCCUAAAUUUUUGCUCUGUUUCUGCUUGGCGAUGAUUGGGACUACAAAUAAGGGAUUAUGAAUUUCGGGUUAUGCCCCUUCAAUAAUAUUUUUCUAUUUUCCCUUA